UACGUAGGGGGCUAGCGUUGUCCGGAAUCAUUGGGCGUAAAGCGCGCGUAGGCGGCCAGAUAAGUCCGGUGUGAAAGUCAAAGGCUCAACCUUUGAAUGCCGGUGGAAACUGUCGAGCUAGAGUCCGGAAGAGGCGAGUGGAAUUCCUGGUGUAGCGGUGAAAUGCGCAGAUAUCAGGAGGAACACCCGUGGCGAAAGCGGCUCUCUGGGACGGUACUGACGCUGAGACGCGAAAGCGUGGGGAGCAAACAGG
rnacentral:rRNA from 1 species